UUGGCGGGGGUGCUGCUUUGCGGCUGAGAGGAACCUGUUUCCAACCCUUGAACCUGAUCCGGAUAAUGCCGGUGUAGGAAGCUCGU
rnacentral:ncRNA from 1 species